AUUACAGCCGUUUUUUCCCAUGUUUUCCUAAACUACCCUUCGUCGUUUAAAUUCUCAAAUUGCGAUUCAAAUUUUGUUGCAGCUUCAAAUUACUCCCGGAUCCAUUUCAAAUUUGAGAACAAAAUUUUCAGAUCACAUAAUUUCAAAUUCUUUUAUCCACCUGAUUUGAAGAACACACAGUCUCAUUAUUUCAAAUUCAUUGAAAGUUUAGCUUGAUUUGGGGAAAUUUUAAUCAGGGCAAGUUAUUGAGUGAAUCACUAAAUUUUGAUUUUCAAUUCAAAUCUUUAACCCAAUUUCGUACCUGACUAAGGAUUCAUACUUAGUGUUCUGUAAUCUUCAUUACCCAUCAAAUAUUUUGGAGAUUUUACAUUAAUAUUUUCGGAUCUCAGAAGCAUACUUCGAUUUCGGUUGUCUUUGAAGAUUGUGGAAGAAGCAUUAUCGAUCAACAGAGAGAAGCAUCAGAUUCAAAAUCAAAAUCAGCUCCUGAAUUAGUCUCGUUGUUCUAUUGAAGAAGUUGUUACUGAUUUUGAUGGAUUUGUUCUUCAUCGAUUAUGGCUCAAGGUACCCAUAUUUCCCGUGUAUUUCCUUUUUUUCUUACAAUAAGAUACGGUAUUCUCCCUGUUUGACGUAAUUACGCUGAGAAUCAAUUGUAAGAAGAAAUGGAUUUCGAUUUGAAUGAAAUUCCUAUAGAAGAUUUUCCAAAUAUUCCAAUGCCACCCGAUUAUGAGAGCGAGUAUCGUUUAAUUGACUUAAAUGAAUGCUGCCAAGAAGAGGAUGUGAAUGAUCAUGAAGAAGAAGAGGAAGAAGAUGAAGAGGAGCUACAUUCUCCAGCUAACAACAUGGUACCACCACAAAACAGACGUUUUGGGAAUAAGAAGAAAAAUCUGACCUCCAAUUUGAAGAGAGCAAUUUUAGAGAAUUUGAUGCAAGCAAGCAUAAAUGGAAAAUUAGGAAAAGGUCAGAUCACUAACAUUGCUAAUCGUUUUUCUGUCAGUACAAGGUCAGUAUCGCGAUUAUGGCAUGAUUCGAAGAUCGCUAGUGCAAAUGGAGUGAUGCUUGAUAUAUCCUCAAAGAUGGUGAAAAGAGUUGGUAGAAAGAAGAUUCAAAUUGAUUUGGAAUUGAUAAAACCUAUACCUCUACGACGCCGAACAAGCAUGAGGUCUCUUGCAUAUUCGUUAGACUUAUCAACUUCUACUAUAUAUAGGAGAAUUAAGGAUGGAAAUAUCAGGCCACAUUCAAAUGCCUUGAGGCCAGAUCCAACGGAUGAUAAUAAGAAAGAAAGGGUGGAAUUUUGCUUAAAGAUGAUCGCCGAAGGUAUGAAUGAUUCCCUAUGCCAUUAUUUUGUUGAUAUGUAUGAUCGUAUUCAUAUAGAUGAGAAGUGGUUCUUCAUUACUAAGACAGCCCAAAAAUACUAUCUUCAUGCGGAAGAAGAUGAACCAUUACGUACAUGUAAGAGUAAGCGUUACAUUACUAAAAUUAUAUUUUUAACAGCUGUGGCUCGUCCUCGGUUUGGUUUUGAUGGAAAGAUAGGGAUUUGGCCUUUUCUAAUUAGGGAGGCUGCAAAGAGGAGCAGAAAAAAUCGUCCUGCCGGUACUAUGGAAACCAAAGCUAUGAAAUCUGUUACAAAAGAAAUUAUUCGAAACUGUAUGAUAAAUGAGUUGUUACCCGCUAUUGUUGAGAAAUGGCCUUUCACAAGAUACAAGACAAUGAUUGUUCAGCAAGAUAACGCGGGACCACAUGUUCAUGAAAAUGACGAUAAGUUUAUGGAAGCUGUUAGAAGUCAUGGGGUCGAUAUUCGCUUGUUAUCUCUACCUCCAAACAGUCCAUACUUGAAUGUCCUAGACCUUGGAUUUUUUAGAGUUAUCGCCGCACUUCAACAUAAAGAUGCUCCAACUACAGUUGAUGAAUUCAUCGCAAGUGUUACUAGAGAUUUUGAACUGUUUUCUACUGAAAGUUCGAACAAUGUGUUCUUAACUUUGCAGUCAUGUAUGAAAGAGAUAAUAAAAAUCAAGAUUCCACAUAUGAACAAAUCAGGCUUAAUCAGAACAAACCAGCUGCCGGUUGUGCUUCAAUGUGACCCUCAAGUUGUGAAUAAGGCAAGAGCAUUUAUUAGUGGAGCACAACAACAAUCUGAGAUUCUAAUAUGAUGCCAUCUGAGAUUCCAAUAAUUGCUUCUGCAACAAUUUCUGGGUUUGUAUCGACUUCUUUAGCUUCUGCAAUAAUUUCUGGGGUUGUAUCGACUUCUUUUGCCUCUGCAAAUGAUUGGUGAUGGUUCUGGUGCCAAUCUAGUCAGAAUGGCAGCCACCCAAGUGAUGCUCAUGGGGCUGAAGUCUUGUCUUUUUUGUUUUUAUUCGUUUUUUUCAUAUUUUGUUGUCAGUUUGCUUUGUUUUUCUGUUGGGGUGCCUAAACAAGGAGACACAGCUCGAACUGGGUAUGUGAAGAUUUCCUAAGUAUUAUAGUUGGUUUUCUUGUUGUUGACUCGGAGGAACGAUUCAGGUAUAACUCUACAAUUGUUGGUAUGUCCCGGAGCUUAAUCUAGUCAGUAUUUUCUCCCUAGUUUAAGUUUUUAUUCAAAGGCUGAGCAUUAGAAUGGUUCAAUCUAUUUAAACUUCAUCUAACAGAAUAAUUUUUUCCUGUGUAAUGUGGAAUUUUUGUCAGUCUACUUUUGACCCUAUCAAAUCUAAACAUGUAUAAUGGUGUAAAGAGAGAUUUUUAUGUUUGACAAUGAAAGAGUUGGUAUAUGUGUGUUUCCUAAAGAUGGAAUCUGGGUUUGAAGUCAAUGGUGAAGUUUUCAUAAUUGGGUAUAUGAAGUUGGUAUAUUGCAGGCAGGUGUUGUGCAGAACUUUAUGACCAAAUUCAAUGUGCAAGUGGUCAACCAAUCUCAAAGCAGUGAAAGAUGUAUGCUAGUAUAUUGCAGGCAGGGCAUGAAUGGAUUCAAUUACUCGCAUAAAUUAGAAUUUUAAAUGUCUGUUUUCAAGAAAGCAAUCUCUGGAAGGGAAUACAAUUAACUUGUUGUAAACGAUUGAUUCCAAUUAAUGUAAAUUUUCAUCUUAAAUUAGACCUGUAAUACAUUAUUCCAUUCUGCAGGUCCUUAUUUCAUCUUAAAAUAGACCUGUAAUACAUUAAUUUGAUCAUUGA